rnacentral:sRNA from 1 species
GAUGCCAGGGCCAAAAGGUCAAAAAGCCGUUCAUGCUUGCAUGAUAAGGCUUUUGAACUUGGGACCCGCCAAACAUGAGAAAGUAGCGAUUUACGUAGUAAAUCAGCGGAUUUCGAAUGUUUAUAGAAUUGCGGGAGUUGCUUUGCAGCGGAGCAAUUCGUAGGCAUC